rnacentral:rRNA from 1 species
GCACAAGCAGCGGAGCGUGUGGUUUAAUUCGAUGCUACACGAAGAACCUUACCAGGGUUUGACAUACAAGUGGUAGAGAAGCGAAAGUGGAUCGACCCUUCGGGGAGCUUGUACAGGUGCUGCAUGGCUGUCGUCAGCUCGUGUCGUGAGAUGUUCGGUUAAGUCCGCUAACGAGCGCAACCCUCGCUGUGUGUUACAAGUGUCACACGGAACUGCCGGUCAUAAACCGGAGGAAGGUGGGAUGACGUCAAGUCAGCAUGGCCUUUAUAUCCUGGGCUACACACACGCUACAAUGGGAAGGGACAAUAGGUUGCGAAGCCGCGAGGUGGAGCCAAUCCAGCAAAACUUCCCUCAGUUCAGACUGCAGGCUGCAACUCGCCUGCAUGAAGUUGGAGUUGCUAGUAAACGCAGGUCAGCCAUACUGCGUUGAAUACGUUCCCGGGGCUU